rnacentral:rRNA from 1 species
CUACGUGCCAGCAGCCGCGGUAAUACGUAUGUCACAAGCGUUAUCCGGAUUUAUUGGGCGUAAAGCGCGUCUAGGUGGUUAUGUAAGUCUGAUGUGAAAAUGCAGGGCUCAACUCUGUAUUGCGUUGGAAACUGUGUAACUAGAGUACUGGAGAGGUAAGCGGAACUACAAGUGUAGAGGUGAAAUUCGUAGAUAUUUGUAGGAAUGCCGAUGGGGAAGCCAGCUUACUGGACAGAUACUGACGCUGAAGCGCGAAAGCGUGGGUAGCAAACAGGAUUAGAUACCCUGGUAGUCCACGCCGUAAACGAUGAUUACUAGGUGUUGGGGGUCGAACCUCAGCGCCCAAGCAAACGCGAUAAGUAAUCCGCCUGGGGAGUACGUACGCAAGUAUGAAACUCAAAGGAAUUGACGGGGRCCCGCACAAGCGGAGGARCAUGUGGUUUAAUUCGAUGAUACGCGAGGAACCUUACCCGGGCUUGAAUUGCAGAGGAAUUAUUUAGAGAUA